UUUGUUAUAAAAAUGUCAGCAGAUGUCACACACUUUCAUGAUGGAGAUGCAGGUGGUGAUCCUCCCCCUGAUUCUACUAGGAUCCCUUCAUCUUAUCAGUCAGCUCCGCGUAAAAGGCAUGGAGGAGGAAUGGGCCAGGAACUCGAAAAGGCAAGGCGCAAAGAUGGCAAACCAAUUCCAAUAACUUUUUACCUGGAAACUUAUAAGCCAUUGAGUAAGCAUGGAACAUGGUUCACACGUUUAGUCAGUAACAUCAUGACUAACAAAUUACCACCAUAUUUUCUGAAUUGGAAAUAAGUGCCUAAUUAAUACAAAUAGUUGCUUUACACCACUAUAAAGCAUUAUUUUGAUAUAGCAAGGCGGCCAGACUAUUAUCAUAUUAUGGAGGCUAUAGAUGAUGAUGACGACGUCAAAUAUUGUGAUAGGAAAACGCGUAGUAAGGCGCACUUCAAGAAAAUUUAUGGUGAUGAUAAGAACUUAGAGCAGUCCCUCAACAACCCCCACAGUGGUGUUAAUGCUGAACAUUGGAAACAAUGCAUUGACUUAUGGUUGGAUGAGAAAUCAAUUAAACAGGCAGAAAUGAAUCAGGCCAAUAGGGAACUGAUGAAGUAUCAUUCUACUCAAGGAUCGAAGUAAUUCGUGGUGGCCCGCCAUGAUAGAGCGAACACGGAAUCUAGGAAUGUACCGAGUUACAUUGAAAGUUGGAAGCAAUUCCACACCCGCAAGGAUAAAGAAGAAUUCGUCAAUGAGCAAGUGAAAACAGACUAUGAAAUGAUGUACAAAGAUUUUGAAGCACAGAGCCAGCAAGUCCCGUCUUCUAUUUCUGAUGAAGUAAGUUCUGUUGACGAAAGGAUGAUCAUGAGAAAAGUGUUGGGUGAACAUCUCGGGCAUUAACGAGGAGUUGGUCGCACAUUAAAGGGGAAAAAAGCCUCCAGCAGUCAAUCUCAAGCUCGGGCACAGUCGUCGUCAUACACCCAACCUCCUCAAUCCAAUGAUAAUAAUAGCAUUAUGGGACCGGCGAUGGCUAACUUGCUAAGCAAUAGAAAGCAGACAUUGAGUUCCUAUCUCAGCGCCUUCCUCCUGAAUCCCGCCUACCACAUUAAACAAUGAGAUCGGAUGAAGUAACUCAAUGGUGGGUGAUGUAUGUGGCUGCACCUUCACAAACUCCACCACCGCCUCCACGUAUGUUCGGAGAUGACACUCCUACACAUGUUCCCCCGCCAAUCAUACCUCAAUCUACAUUUAGAAAUGACGUGUCUUUGUCAGCACCUCCACCACGAUCUCCACCGACCCUAGUCAUUUAGUUUCCAGAAGACUUAGACGAUGAUGAUGUGAUCAACUUAGGAUAGAUUACACAGUUAUAUAAAUAGUAGUGUUUAUUUGUUUUAACAUUAUUAAGAAAAUUAUUAAUUUUAGAUUAUAUGGUUUAUUUUCUUAUCAAUUAA